UUCGCGUUGAAUGUCCCGACAUUCUCCGUAAUAUCUAUCUUCUGAGAGCGUCAAGUUUGCGGCCGCACUUUCCCUAGUGAUACUCAGUUUACUUAUACUUUCAUCUUUUCUUAUGCACUCAUGCAGGCAUAAAUAAAGAUGAUACUGACGAUGCAUUGGUUAAUUAAAGCAAGUACCAGCGAUUUGAAAAUAAUCCUCAUGCAAGUUUAAUGUACAUUUCAUGGUAAAAACAUUGUGUAGUGUGUACCCACACCGAUAACUUUUUGUAUAGUAUGCACGAAUAUUGUAACUAAAUGUAUCAUUGUAGUAUAUACCUUCACAAUUUGUGUACAUAGCUAGUAUAUCGUUAGAUCUUAACAGCUUAACUGGUUAGGUAUCGCCUGGAAACUUUACUGUAAUUAUAGUGAGUUUGGCAAAUAACCGGAUUCAUAUCUGCACCACCGAACAACUAUCCAGUUUACUAGAUAUAUAUAAAGAUAAUAAAUGCAUAAAUAGAAAGUUUUCAGCGCUGCUAAAAAUCUUUUUUCGUAAAUUUAAGCCGGUUUUCAAGAAUACGUAUAGGGCCAUUUAUACGGGACAAAAUAAGUCGCGACUUACAUAAAACGCGACUUUAAAUAAGACGCGAGUUUGUCGUAUAAAAGGUACAAAAUUCUUAUGUAAGUCGCGUCUUGGAUAAGACGCGACUUAAAUAAGAACAGGAUUUUUAGCUGUUCUUAUUUAAGACGCGUCUUAAAUAAGACAUUUGGAUAAAAGGUCUAACUACACAUGCUCGAAACUUGAAACAACGUAAAAUUAUUAGCCUUUCAUAUUAAAACCAAAACAACAUUAUAGCUAUAGCAAGUAAAUAAGACUAGAGCCGUAGAGAACCAUUUAUACGAUAACUCCGCUUAUAUAUAUAAGACGCGUCUUAUGUAAGUCGCGACUUAUUUUGUCCCAUAUAAUGGCCCUAAUAUUCAUGUUGACGGAUUGAUCAUGCUCUUCGCAUGCGUGAAAAGACUGGGACUGGCCUUCAAGUUUGGCUUCAAAUUUCCGGUUGGAGGUAGCGUUCCAGUUACAGUUCGCAAUUCUCACAUACAAACUCUCGCUUGCCAACACUCAUCAACUCACAUCCUCGUGUAAUACGAGCAACAAAAUUGCCAAAACUUGGAACAAAAACUGAUUUCCACCCAUGUUAAUUCAAAAUGUUCAACACACACUGUGCCAGAUUUUCAUUGAACUGAAUUGAACACUGAUGCCUACAAGUGCAACAUGUGAAAGGCUAUUUUGUUGCGCAGGGUUUUAAUUUUUCAGACCACAAUGCUGUUCAAUGUGUGAAAAUUCUUUUUCUGGUUAAAUCAAACAAUUGUUUUGUCUAAUUCACUUCGUAUAUUGACAAUUAGCAUAACUCAAUCUAUAAUAAAUCGUAGUCUGACUCGUGCUAUUGCUUGGCAUUAUAAAUAUAGUAUAUAUUUGACAUAAUUAUCGCAGCUAUUUAAAUUAACAAUUAGAUUACGAGCUCAAGAUUUCUAUGAGGUGAUAGUUGAUGAGGGCGAAGCCCAAAUCAACUAUCACCUCAUAGAAAUCGAGAGCAAGUGAUCUAAUUGUUUUAGUAGAAUCAGAAAUCAAACAUAAAAUAUUCCUCAGAAAAAAACGCGAGCCGGGAGCCAUUUAAAAAAAUGCGCCAGGAAAAUGAUUGUUUUACUACUCGCUAUCUAUCGAUGAUUAGAAUAAACCUACUAGUAGGCUAUCACAUAUCGUGGCUUCUGAUUGGCUACGCUAUUAGUAGGCUAUUAGUGAUAGCCUACUAAUAGAAAAUUCAAAAUGGCGGAAAAUUCGCGUUUUGCACUUUUGCCGAAGUGUCUGAUGAUUUUUUGGACGACUUGUUGAACAAUUCUGUACUAAAAAACCCCGAAAAAAGCAACAAAAAUAUGGAAUGGCAAUUUUUAAGGGUAAGUAAAUAGACAAAAUAACAUACACUCAAUGAAAUUUUAAAAUUAAAACUGAAUUUUGUAAAACAUUUUACGCGAACAAAAACUAAAAUAUUUGUUUAAUGGUUUUAUAAUGUUUUUUUUUUUAAUGUUAAAGUUUAUACUAAAACAAUUAGACAACUCGACCUCGUUGUCUAUGAGCAAAUAGUCAACUCGGCUUCGCCUCGCUGACUAUUGGCUCAUAUAGACAACUCGGCCUCGUUGUCUGAUUGUUAAAUAGAUAGCGAGUAGAGUAGCCAAUCAAAUUACAGCAUUUGCAAUAGUAUACUAGUAUGAUUGUACUAAAUUUUUAAAAAAAUGGCUUCCAUUAUCAAAUUAUUGAAUUAUUUUGUGGAAUAUUUUAUGUUUGAUCUCUGAUUCUACUAAAACAAUUACUCGCUCUCAGGGGCGUAGGAACCGGGGGGGCCAGGGGGGCCAUGGCCCCCCUGGCCAAGUUUUGGCAAGUGCCCUUUUUACAGGAGCAAAGUGCCCUUUUUGUGCCUGAAAAAUUUUCAUAAAAUUCGUAGUUUUUGUCCAAACGAAACUUUUGAAAACUGUAAUGUAGGUUUUUUCCCGAAAAAUGUUUUAGUUUCCGAUAAAAAUAUCAUAUAUUUGUUUUUCCGGAAAAAAUUUUUAGUAUUUAAGGAAAAAUAUGGUGUCCGGAAAAUUGUUUUUACCCCCCUAAAAUGGUACACUGACCGAAAUUUUUUUGGCGGCGGGGGGGGGGAGGUCUCCAAAAUUUUUUUUUGAGAUGCCCUUUUUUUUUUGAAAGUGCCCCUCAAAAGCCUGGCCCCCCCCCCAACUUUUCUAAGCUUCCUACGCCCCUGCUCGCUCUCGAUUUCUAUGAGGUGAUAGUUGAUUCGGGCUCGAGCUCGUAAUCGAAUUGUUAAUUAUAAAAUUUUUGUAACUCGUAACUUUGUAACUAGUUACAAAGUUUUUAAAGUAACUUUGUAACUGCAACUAGUUAUUUUUAUUUCAUUGUAACGUGUAACGUGUAACUUGUAUCAGUAACUAGUUACUUUUCUGAUGAUGUAACUGCAACUGUAACUAUAGUUACAAAAAUUAUGUAACUUUUACAGCACUGGUGCGGUGACAGGUCUGUUGCCAGAAAUAGAAAUAAAUUUUGUGAUUAUUAAAGGACACUUAAGUUAAAAUAUAC
rnacentral:lncRNA from 1 species